UCCAGACUCCUACGGGAGGCAGCAGUGGGGAAUAUUGCACAAUGGGGGAAACCCUGAUGCAGCGACGCCGCGUGGGCGACGAAGCGCUCCGGCGCGUAAAGCCCUGUCAGCAGGGAAGAACAAAGACAGUACCUGACCAAGAAGCCCCGGCUAACUACGUGCCAGCAGCCGCGGUAAUACGUAGGGGGCAAGCGUUAUCCGGAUUUACUGGGUGUAAAGGGGGCGCAGACGGCGAUGCAAGCCAGGAGUGAAAGCCCGGGGCCCAACCCCGGGACUGCUCUGGGAACUGCGGGGCUGGAGUGCAGGAGGGGCAGGCGGAAUUCCUGGUGUGGCGGUGAAAGGCGUGGAUAUCAGGAGGAACACCGGUGGCGAGGGCG
rnacentral:rRNA from 1 species